rnacentral:misc_RNA from 1 species
GGGUGAAGCAAUCGACUGAAACCAUACAGCUUUAUGACCUGGAAAUGAUGGUGUUUGUCUCUGGUCAGGAGAGGAACGAAAAAGAAUGGGCCAAACUAUUUUUUGAUGCAGGAUUCAGCAGCUAUAAAAUAAAUCCUGUUCUUGGCCUAAGAUCUAUCAUUGAGGUUUAUCCUUGAAUAUCUUAUUGUCUCUAAUAAAAUUAAUUUUACCCUUGUAUUAAUUU